UGCUAUCCAAUAUACAGCAGCAGCUCAGCGGAUGAGAAAAUUUAGAAACCAAGCUUCAUUUCAAUUUCCAUUCUGAUCUCCUCUCACCUUCUGUAUUAUCCCCAAGAGAUUAUCUCAGCACGCUAAUCCUCUUGCUAAAGCUUUUAGCAUAAGGAUAUCAUCUGCAUUUUUUUUCCCAGAAGAGACCAAUCCCAUCCCCUUUGUGAGGUGGACCCUUGGUGUGUCUUCAUUACUCACCUCCACUUACUAUUCUGCAGGAGUAACGCAAGAAGCCCCCUGGGAGCGGAGACUUUUUUUUUAAAAAAAAAUUGUGAAAUUCACGUUCCUCCGUAUUCAUUUCAGCCUGGAUUUAUAGCAUCAUCGCGGCUGAUGUUGAAAGGGGAAAAAAAAAAAGUUAAGCAGGGCCAGGCCGGGCCGAUUUUUGGAUGGGAGACCCCAGAAAAUUAUAAAGCAUCCUGGAGACAAGUUCAGCCAUGGUUUCAGAGGACUUGAAAUGGCCAGGAAUUGGACUUUCCUGAAAGGAGGAUGCUAAGACACCAAGCUUGGUCCCCACUGCCUCCUGGUUGCUUUGCAACCAUCGCCAUGGGAACCCCCGGGGGGGGGGAGGAUGCUCAGAGGCCACAGAGGAUCACAGCAUCAGCUCCCCGGUAGCCACUACCAUUUGAGGGAAAAUGACUUAUUUCCAAAUAACUGGACCCAUCUGUUCGUCCUCCGGCUACGAGCGAAAGCGGGACGAAAUCGCCUCCUCCCUUCGGAGGCAACUCGUGGGGGGAUCUGCCAGCAGUUCUGAACGGAAGAAGGGAUCCUGGGAUUACCCAGAUCACCAGUCUUUCUGUCGGCGGGGCCCGAUGUGCUUCCGAACCAAUUUACACACGACACCUUUGGGUGCCAAUCAAUCCCUUUUGCUGGCUUCACGCAGGAGAUGUGACAGUGUCUGAAAAGAUGGGAGUCCUAUUCCACACUUAAGACCCUAAAAGGAAAACUGGACCGUUCUGUGAAUGUAGCGAUUCGGUCGCUCGCCGACAGGGUUGUGCAUGUCACUUUGUUGUCUCCUCUUCCAUUCUUGGGGUUCGGCACACGAGAUUAGGAUGAAACCCUGCUUAGCCCUUAUUUCGAGAACUGAGA